GACUCACCUGAAAAUUAAAUAGAAUAGAGGUGUGUGUGGCGAUAAUGAAAGCAAUUGGCUACUCACUUCAAGCAUAGUUGUAAAAAAAAAAAAAAAAAACAUAAAACAGCAUAUAAUGGUACUCAGUCUACUGCGGAAAAAGCAGCAUGCGUAGCCUAAAUGUCAUGCCAUUCGGUCACUGAACACUCACUCAAAAGAUGUCGAGUCGACCGUCCAAAAGUCGCGCAAGUGUAAAUUCAGGUGCGUCAUUGUACUCUCGCAGUUGUUUUCAGCGACGCAGAUCAGCCAGCUGCCGAACUCCGCUGUCUCACAGUCAGCAGCCUCUAGGAACACACCGACUCUGCUCCCCGAGUUGGAUCGCGACCAGCCUGCACUCUGGCACUGUUCAAUCCGGAAGGCAGGCAGGCAAUUACCUUCGGCUCUGUUGUACUGCCACAUGCGUGCCUCCGGCGCAGAGAAAUAUGGAUGUUUGGCUGCGAGGUCAAAUGGCGUCAGCUCUGAAAGCGGAACAGCCCACGGGAGAGGAAUGCUUAUCAACGCCGUCUCAGAAUGCAGACCAACAGUUACAUCACAUUACCUCAUCCUUCACGUGAACUUUGGGAGCAAGAAUCAGGGGGAAUGACAUCACCGGCUGCCUCCUUCCCUGACCAAUGUAGUGAGGACCUGAAAUGAAAUUACCUCAAGACGACAACAAACACACUCUAGCCAAAAUUUCACCAAUCACUUCUGCAGUCUGCGGAUGACUUGCAUAACGUGCUCUGAGGGAGGCACUGUUCCGAAAACGUUGGCGAUACCCAAUAAAUCAUUGGAAGCGUAUAUAUUAUGCGACUUUAUUUAAAAUGUACCUCUGUUUGCCAGCACCUCUUGACUAUUUGGAUGUGCAUCAACUGCUGCUUUUUAUAUAAAGUGCAUUAUGGGGGAAAAAGGAUGGAUCCCAAAUGCAAUAAAAACAUUCUUGACAGGAUUAAAGUGGAUUUAUUUAUUAUAAACAUUGGAAAGGCAAAAUGUGAAACACAAUUGUCCUAAUGUUCUGGGAGUUGGAGGUGCUGGAUAACAUUUGGAUAAUUGGAAUAGUACCAUUGUGAGGAAUGUUGGCUUCAUAAUAACAGUAUAUUUGAUAACAAUAUUGGAUGAUGAUCAGAAAAAAGCAACGCAUGCAAAUACAGCUCCUGCAAAUAUAACUGUACAGCCUCACAUAGCAAGCACACACAAUUUGACAUGCAUGCCCAACACACACCGUUUGAUUUGACAUGCAUGCCCAACACACACCGUUUGAUUUGACAUGCAUGCCCAACACACACCGUUUGAUUUGACAUGCAUGCCCAACACACACCGUUUGAUUUGACAUGCAUGCCCAACACACACCGUUUGAUUUGACAUGCAUGCCCAACACACACCGUUUGAUUUGACAUGCAUGCCCAACACACACCGUUUGAUUUGACAUGCAUGCCCAACACACACCGUUUGAUUUGACAUGCAUGCCCAACACACACUGUUUGAUUUGACAUGCAUGCCCAACACACACCGUUUGAUUUGACAUGCAUGCCCAACACACACUGUUUGAUUUGACAUGCAUGCCCAACACACACCGUUUGAUUUGACAUGCAUGCCCAACACACACCGUUUGAUUUGACAUGCAUGCCCAACACACACCGUUUGAUUUGACAUGCAUGCCCAACACACACUGUUUGAUUUGACAUGCAUGCCCAACACACACACACACCACCUGGGUGGUCCAUACCCAUACAGGAAGCCAUGUGAGGGCCACAGAGGAUACUUCUGCCUUACUGAGUUCUAGGGGUAAGGCUCAGACAUACGGCGCAGGCAUCCCAACCAGAACAUCCAUUGAUUGAACAUGGACCGUUUCAGCCUUACAAAAUGUGUAAGUGUGCCACCAAGCUUCUGGCCCUGGAAGGCAAACUAAAGAACAACCUUUUAAUAACAGAACAGCCUUUACUGAACAGGUUUGAGGAUAUUAGAAACGACUAAAUUACGGAGUGAAAGCGAAUCCCUUUAUAGCAUCGAAUGUGGCUUUGUUGUACCAUUAUAGCUUCAGCACAUGAACUUCAUAAUGUCCCGUUUGUUCAAAUAAAACAAACAUACAAGCAG